GGCCGCGGGAUUGUGCCAGCCGCCGCGGUAAUACGUAGGGUCCGAGCGUUGUCUGGAAUUACUGGGCGUAAAGAGCUCGUAGGUGGUUUGUCGCGUUGUUCGUGAAAACUCACAGCUUAACUGUGGGCGUGCGGGCGAUACGGGCAGACUAGAGUUCUGCAGGGGAGACUGGAAUUCCUGGUGUAGCGGUGGAAUGCGCAGAUAUCAGGAGGAACACCGGUGGCGAAGGCGGGUCUCUGGGCAGUWACUGACGCUGAGGAGCGAAAGCUUGGGGAGCGAACAGGAUUAGAUACCCUGGUAGUYCACGCCGUAAACGGUGGGUACUAGGUGUGGGUUUCCUUCCUUGGGAUCCGUGCCGUAGCUAACGCAUUAAGUACCCCGCCUGGGGAGUACGGCCGCAAGGCUAAAAACUCAAAGGAAUUGACGGGGGCCCGCACAAGCGGCGGAGCAUGUGGAUUAAUUCGAUGCAACGCGAAGAACCUUACCUGGGUUUGACAUGCACAGGACGACUGCAGAGAUGUGUUUCCCUUGUGGCCUGUGUGCAGGUGGUGCAUAGCUGUCGUCAGCUCGUGUCGUGAGAUGUUGGGUUAAGUCCCGCAACGAGCGCAACCCUUGUCUCAUGUUGCCAGCACGUUAUGGUGGGMACUCGUGAGAAACUGCCGGGGUCAACUCGGAGGAAGGUGGGGAUGACGUCAAGUCAUCAUGCCCCUUAUGUCCAGGGCUUAACACAUGCUACAAUGGCCGGUACAAAGGGCUGCGAUGCCGUGAGGUGGAGCGAAUCCUUUCAAAGCCGGUCUCAGUUCGGAUCGGGGUCUGCAACUCGACCCCGUGAAGUCGGAGUCGCUAGUAAUCGCAGAUCAGCAACGCUGCGGUGAAUACGUUCCCGGGCCUUGCACACCGCCCGUC
rnacentral:rRNA from 1 species